rnacentral:rRNA from 1 species
AUUGAACGCUGGCGGAAUGCUUUACACAUGCAAGUCGAGCGGCAGCGCGGGGGCAACCCUGGCGGCGAGCGGCGAACGGGUGAGUAAUACAUCGGAACGUGUCCUUAAGUGGGGGAUAGCUCGGCGAAAGCCGGAUUAAUACCGCAUAAGCUCUGAGGAGGAAAGCGGGGGCUCCGUAAGGACCUCGCGCUGUUGGAGCGGCCGAUGUCGGAUUAGCUAGUGGUGGGGAAAGCCCACCAAGGCGACGAUCCGUAGCUGGUCUGAGAGGAUGAUCAGCCACACUGGAACUGAGACACGGUCCAGACUCCUACGGGAGGCAGCAGUGGGAAUUUUGGACAAUGGGGGCAACCCUGAUCCAGCCAUUCCGCGUGAGUGAAGAAGGCCUGGUGUAAGA